UUUUAAAAAUGGACGACAAGACCAGCGUUGCCAAUGGUCCAAAAUUAUAUUCCACGGCGAACAUACCCAAAUUCCACAAAAUUCCACAAUCACUAG